GUAGCUCAGUUGGUAGAGUACUAGAUUGUGGCUCUGGUUGUCACGGGUUCAAGCCCCGUUAUUCACCC
rnacentral:tRNA from 1 species